CCUGGCUCAGGAUGAACGCUAGCGGCAGACCUAACACAUGCAAGUCGAACGGUAACAGCGCUUCGGUGGCUGACGAGUGGCGCACGGGUGCGUAACGCGUAUGCAACCUACCUUUUACAGUGGGAUAGCCCAGAGAAAUUUGGAUUAAUACCGCAUAGUAUGCAUGACCAGCAUUGGUUUUGCAUUAAACAUUCAUGGGUAAGAGAUGGGCAUGCGUUCUAUUAGUUAGUUGGAGUGGUAACGGCACCCCAAGACAGCGAUAGAUAGGGGCCCUGAGAGGGGGAUCCCCCACACUGGUACUGAGACACGGACCAGACUCCUACGGGAGGCAGCAGUGAGGAAUAUUGGACAAUGGGCGGGAGCCUGAUCCAGCCAUGCCGCGUGCAGGAAGACGGUCCUAUGGAUUGUAAACUGCUUUUGUACGGGAAGAACAAGGGGCACGUGUGCCCCUCUGACGGUACCGUAAGAAUAAGGAUCGGCUAACUCCGUGCCAGCAGCCGCGGUAAUACGGAGGAUCCGAGCGUUAUCCGGAAUCAUUGGGUUUAAAGGGUCCGUAGGCGGGCCAUUAAGUCAGGGGUGAAAGUCUGCGGCUCAACCGUAGAAUUGCCCUUGAUACUGGUGGUCUUGAGUUAUGGUGAAGUAACUAGAAUAUGUAGUGUAGCGGUGAAAUGCAUAGAUAUUACAUAGAAUACCGAUUGCGAAGGCAGGUUACUAACCAUAUACUGACGCUGAUGGACGAAAGCAUGGGGAGCGAACAGGAUUAGAUACCCUGGUAGUCCACGCCGUAAACGAUGGAUACUAGCUGUCCGGAUGCAAAUCUGGGCGGCCAAGCGAAAGUGAUAAGUAUCCCACCUGGGGAGUACGUCCGCAAGGAUGAAACUCAAAGGAAUUGACGGGGGCCCGCACAAGCGGUGGAGCAUGUGGUUUAAUUCGAUGAUACGCGAGGAACCUUACCAGGGCUUAAAUGUGGUCUGACAGCUUUAGAGAUAGAGCCUCCUUCGGGCAGACCACAAGGUGCUGCAUGGUUGUCGUCAGCUCGUGCCGUGAGGUGUCAGGUUAAGUCCUAUAACGAGCGCAACCCCUGCCGUUAGUUGCCAGCAUGUAAAGAUGGGGACUCUAACGGGACUGCCGGUGCAAACCGCGAGGAAGGUGGGGAUGACGUCAAAUCAUCACGGCCCUUACGUCCUGGG
rnacentral:rRNA from 1 species